rnacentral:rRNA from 1 species
GACGAACGCUGACGGUGUGCUUUAGACAUGCAAGUCGAACGAGAAAGCCCUUCGGGGUUAGUAAAGUGGCGAACGGGUGAGUAACACGUGGGCAAUCUGCCCCUCGCAGGGGGACAACCGGAGGAAACUCCGGCUAAUACCCCGUAAGUUCAAAGGGAGGCAUCUCUCUUCGAAGAAAGGUAGCUUCGGCCAUCCGGCGAGGGAUGAGCCCGCGGUGCAUUAGCUAGUUGGUGGGGUAACGGCCUACCAAGGCGACGAUGCAUAGCUGGUCUGAGAGGAUGAUCAGCCACACUGGGACUGAGACACGGCCCAGACUCCUACGGGAGGCAGCAGUCGGGAAUCUUGCGCAAUGGGCGAAAGCCUGACGCAGCAACACCGUGUGUGUGAGGAAGGCCCUCGGGU